GUUAUUUCUGGACACAGUAAUCCUUCAGCAAUACAAUUACCAAGUUAUUCAACAUGGAAGGCUUUGCCAAGACAGUGGUGGCUGGGAUUUGACCCUCUAAGUGUGAGCUUCAGUUCUACAUGUUGGAAUAGAUCAUCUGGACCCUCUGGAUUCUGGUCCUGUACUGACCUUCAAGCUGUCUCUUUCAGCUUUCUGUGCUGAGGCAGAAAAGAGGAAAGCUGGACCACACCCAGCCAGGACUACACGUGCAGGGUCAUCCAUUCCUUUAUUAGCAAAUAUUCAUGAAUGCCCACUAUGUGCAACACACGGUGCUUGGUGCAAGCAUACAGUGAUGAAUCAAGUAGAGAAGGCCCUGCCCUUAUGGAGCUUACAGCCUGGCUGUGACAGAGAUUUUUGGAAAAGAAAAUAAACCUACAGUUAAAAGAAAAAAGAAAACAAUGAAAAUAGAAGCUGAGCUUAGCUGAGGAUAUGAAUAACGAAAAGCAACCACCUUACCGCAAAACAACUCUAAGAAGUAGGAUUAUCAUCACUCAAUUUACAGGCAUCCAUGUCCUCCAGGAUAUAAAGGAAGAAGUUGAGGGAUGGAUGCAGAGUAUACUAUUCUCCACCAUUACAAAUUGGGCACCUUUGCUUUUGAAUGAGUGACCACAGCCCUGGAAACUUGUAUGCUUUGCUAAUUGAGGGCAGAUGAGCCUCAGGUCAAUCCCCCAUCAAUUAUCCACUCAACAACAAUAAAAUGCUAACUUGUAUGCCCUAACCCAGUUUGUUUAAUUAUUUGGAAGUGAUUUUGUAUCUAAACAACCCACACACUGGACAUAAGCAAUCCUGGAUAAAAUAGAAGUUUAUUAAACUCAUCUUCAUAUUUACAUAAAUUAUUUUUUAAAAAGACACCAUCUAGGCCAAGACCAGUUUUAUUUUUCCCUUCAAAGAAUAAUGUUGAGGAUCAAUUUCUCCAGCUUAACAUCACCAGCCUUGGCAGCAGCUCAUAUUUGGAAUAUAAAUGAUGUCAUCUGGUUGGCCUUUUCCCAUCACAAACAGUAAAUCUCUAAAUCUGGAGAGAUCUUUUAUUUGGUUACACAUAUUGUACAGCAUCAAGGGGUUAGAACACAUGUGCUAGAGAUUAUUAAAAUCAUCUGGAGGAGAAUGGCUUAUUAUUGGAAAGCCCAGAACUUAUGACCCUUUCAUGCCUGGUGUCUCCAUCAACUCUUCUUUCGCUCCUACCUUUUCAAAGAAAUAAUUGUGGCCGAUUGGCCCAUGAUUAUUUGCAUACUAAGGUUUUUCUGGUGCACCAUGCCUCUUCUCUGGAAAAAGAUAUCCCUAGCAGAGUAUAGAGAAAGGGGAACAGGAUUAGGAAUCAGAAAGCCAGUCACAGCAACAUGCCAAAAUAUGACUUUGGGUAACACAUUUGAACUCUACUAAUUUCACUCUCUCAUCUAUAAAAUGAAAAUAAUAAUAACCAGCCUCACAGGAAUUUUUUAGAUAGAUAGUUUUUUAAAAAGUCAUUGAAUAUCUGUUUAUCACUGUAUAAUUUGCUAAAAUCUUUCAAUUACAUUAGCAUUAGUCUUACCUAGCACAAGAAAGACACUCAACAGAUAUUUGUUGAAUAGCAUGUAAAUUGGUGAUAUUAUAGUUUGAUGGAUUCUGAGUCGUUAAGGUAUCUAUCACACCUCUGAACUUAGUUUUCUUUAUUUAUAAUGUGUAUUCAACUGUAUCUCUUUUUAGGGUUGUUGUAAGAGAUAAAGAAAAUAACAUACAUGAAGUAUCAGUUUCGGGCACUUUGGUGUGUACUUGAGAAAGAGGUUUCCUUUUCUCUGAUCGCUUCUUCUUUCAGAGCUUCAUUCUUCUCAUUCAACAGAAUUGGUCAUAAUUAUAACAUUCUACUUGUUGAGGAGAUAGCUGUGGGGCAAAGAGAACAGGGGGGCCAAGCUUUGGUCCUAAUUUUCCAUCUUCCCAGUUGUGUGAACUUUGACAAUUUGGGGGAGUCUGUUUCCCCAUUUGAAAAAUAAGGAGCUUGUCUAGAUCUGAAGUUCCCAAAUUUUUGAAGUUUAUAGAGCAAACAAACAAAUAAACAAACAACAACAACAACAACAACAAAAGACCAGUACCAACCAGGAGCCUAACAUAACAUGGUCAAUUUUUUGAUCUGAGAAAUAGAUUUUUGAAAAAUAACUGUCACUUACCAUUACAAUCAUUUCAAAUUAAAGGACAAGGAACUCCAAAAAAGAAAAAAAAGAAAAAUUAUGAAAUAUAAGACAUGACUCUAAAAUGAUUACAUUAACCUCAUGGGGAAAGAUGCUGAAUCGUCUUAUUGUCCUUAUUUUUUUCUCAUUUUUCCACAGACCUGUGAAAACUUGUUGUGGACCAACAUGGGUCUUCAGAGUAGUACUUGGGAACCUGUACUGUUCUGUAUUGUGGACCAACAUGGGUCUUCAGAGUAGCACUUGGGAACCACUGGGAUGCAUGACAUGGAAGGGCUCUUCUAGCACUAUGUCCUGUGAUUCUAUCAUAAUUCCACCAUGGUGAAAAGCUGGGAUACUUAAACAACAGUUUGUUUAGGUGAAAUCAGUAAAACAAUGAUCUGAUUCAGCUAAGAAGCUGAUCCCUGAAGUCAUUUUGCUGAACUGAAUGACUCUAGAUCUUGAUAGGAAGUAUAAUUUAGUCAAAACAAUCUAAAUUGUUAUGUGUGGAUUGACACAUAUGAGUUGUUCCCGCAGGUCUUCAAAAUACUUCCUUGCCCCUAAUGAGGCUGACUCAGGCUUUGUUCCCCACCAACUAUAAAUUGAUAAGUAUCACACUUGUACCUACCUACAUCAAAAUGAGAGAGAUAUGUGAGUGAGCCAAACAUAUCCAAAGCAUUCCUAAUUCAGGCACUAUGUGCUCACCCUGAGGUUAGCUUCUCUGACACCUUCCACUCUCUAAUCUUGAGCCAAAAUAUGUCUCUACACUCUACUGUGGUGAUCUCAAAGUCCCUGUAUGAAUGCCUCAUAUUUUAUCACCAAAAUUCUAAAUAGAGACUCUCUGUUUCAUGGUUAGCACUCAUUUCUACCAAGCUUGAUCAUCUGAGGUGGACCAAAUUAGAAAUAGGCAAGCAAAAUAGAGGUAGGAGAAGCUAUUAAUACAGGUCAGGAAGAGAUUAGUUUUGGCUGGGUGCUGUGGCUCACAGCUGUAAUCCUAGCAUUUUGGGAAGCUGAGGUGGGCGGAUCACUUGAGGUCAGGAGUUUGAGACCAGCCUGGCCAACAUGGUGAAUUUCCAUCUCAACUAAAAAUAGAAAAAUCAGCUGGGCAUAGUGGAAGGCACCUGUAAUCUCAGCUACUUGGCAGGCUGAGGCAGGAGAAUCACUUGAACCCAGGAGGCAGAAGUUGCAGUGAGCUGAGAUUGCACCACUGCACUCCAUCCUGGGCAACAGAGUGAGACUCCAUCUCAAAAAUAAAUAAAUAAACAAAUAUAGACAGGUCAGGAGUUGUGGGUUGUGGCUUUGCUUGACUUCACAGAAGAAAGAGAGAAAAAUCAAACAGAACUAACUGUAAGCUACUGAGGACAAUAAUAGAUGUUCAUAUCUUUGGUUCUAAGUCAUCAAGAAAAGUUUAAACUAUGUACAAGAACCUUCUCAAGGAAGCAGAUAAUUCAUUGAGAUAGAUGCUUGGGGGUGAGGGCAAACCUCAGCUAUCAGGAAAUUCAUCUCAAGUUAGCAAACGUGAAUUCUCCUGUGAUCCUAGGGUAAUGAAGUAGUAACAGCAAUAGAAACAACCAUAAUAAUGGCUGGCUACUGCAUUGUACUCUGCCUCUUAGGAGUACUUCCAUUUUCUCAUUUAAUAUUCAGAUCAACCCCAUGAGGAACAAAUAAUAAUUUUUAUUAUCCACUCAUUUCUCCAAGUGAGGAAAUCAAAGCUCAGCUUGGUUAAGUAGCUUGCCAAGACAGCAGAGCUAGUCAGUGGCAGAGUAAGAAUGCAAACCCUAGUCUUCUAACUUGAAGCCCAGUGCAUUUCCCACCCUCUGAUCUUCUCUCAUCCUUAUAAAUAGCCAUAAGACUAAGUAGUUCAAAAAUAUCUUCUUUCUGGUUCUCAGGCCCAUUACAAAUGCCACUUGCCCUGGGUAGGAAAAUAAAGCCCAAGCUCUUUGCUGGACUAUGUGCUAAGUCCUUGGCGCCCAGAAAUAACCUCCUGGAGACUAUGGGCCUUAUAUUUACCGCAAAGCAGUGGGUAAAUAACUAGUUGGUGUUUUAGUGUUUUGUGGUCACUUAAUCUGUUGUGUUGCUUCCCAAGACUCUGAAGGUUUCCUUUUUCAGUUAAUUCUUAUUUACGUUUCUGAGGUCUGUGUUGUUUUGGGUUUGGUUCAUUGGAUGUUUUUCUUGGAAUGUGUUGCCAUUGGCUUCAGGAUGUUCCUGCUCUGCUAUUUCAUGGAAUUUUCCCCGAGUGUGGAUUGCUAUGUAUUUCUUCGGGGCAGUGAGCCAAGGCAGUGCUGGUAUGUAAUCUGUUCCUCUGGCCAGAAGACUUCUUGUCACCCAUCCACAUGGUGCUUGGUUGUAUUUCUCCACUGAUAAUUCCCCUCCAUCUGUUAAUGUGCAG
rnacentral:lncRNA from 10 species